GAACGCUGGCGGCGUGCCUAAUACAUGCAAGUCGAACGGUCUUUCUAUGGAAGCUUGCUUCCACUGGAGAAGAUAGUGGCGAACGGGUGAGUAACACGUGAGUAACCUGCCCAUAAGAGGGGGAUAACAUCCGGAAACGGGUGCUAAUACCGCAUAGUUUCUUGAUCGCAUGAUUGAGAAAGGAAAGACGGCCUUUGUGCUGUCGCUUAUGGAUGGACCCGCGGCGUAUUAGUUAGUUGGUGAGGUAACGGCUCACCAAGACGAUGAUACGUAGCCGACCUGAGAGGGUGAUCGGCCACAUUGGGACUGAGACACGGCCCAAACUCCUACGGGAGGCAGCAGUAGGGAAUCUUCCGCAAUGGACGAAAGUCUGACGGAGCAACGCCGCGUGAGUGAAGAAAAGGUUUUCGGAUCGUAAAACUCUGUUGUCAGAGAAGAACAAGUUGGAGAGUAACUGCUCCAGCCUUGACGGUAUCUGACCAGAAAGCCACGGCUAACUACGUGCCAGCCGCCGC
rnacentral:rRNA from 1 species